CAGACUGUGAGAGGGUGAGGAUAUACGCAACGCAACGUGACAUCCUGAUCAGUAUCGUACCAUGUUUGAAAAGGAGAUUCGCCGUGUCUAGGAUUUUGCCGGAAUCGCAACCAUGGAGAAGAUCUUCGGCGCCAGUGGGAGUCGUGCCGAGGAUGGGGUGCCAGACAUGACGGUUCUCUCCGACAUCGACGAGGGCGCAAUCAACCACAACCUGCGCGUCCGCUACUUGCACGACCGCAUCUAUACAUACACUGGCAGCAUCCUCAUAGCAGUCAACCCCUACAAGGAGCUGAAAUUAUGACCC